ACCUACGGGGGGCAGCAGUGGGGAAUAUUGCACAAUGGGGGGAACCCUGAUGCAGCGACGCCGCGUGAGUGAAGAAGUAUUUCGGUAUGUAAAGCUCUAUCAGCAGGGAAGAAAAUGACGGUACCUGACUAAGAAGCCCCGGCUAACUACGUGCCAGCAGCCGCGGUAAUACGUAGGGGGCAAGCGUUAUCCGGAUUUACUGGGUGUAAAGGGAGAGUAGGUGGCAGAGCAAGUCCGAAGUGAAAACCCAAAGCUCAACUAUGGGAAUGCUUUAGAAACUGCUCAGCUAGAGUGCAGGAGAGGCA
rnacentral:rRNA from 1 species